GAAAUGAGAAAGAAGUUUGAUGAUGGA
rnacentral:piRNA from 1 species